CAAUAAAGAGGCUGAGAAUAAUUGGCAAAAUUGACUCAGAGAUCCUCAUAAUAGUUUCGAUAUUAUUAACCGUCGGUUGAACUAACGGCUCUAGCCAUUCGGUUCUAUAUAUGAACAGACUGGAUGAAAUUUGACCUAAAAUAGAACUAGAAAUAAAAAGGAGUGAACGAUGAAUAGUGGUAGAAAAAGUCUUAGGUUUACAGAAAAAAAAAAAGUUUGGUGCCGUGAAUCUUUAAGCUGAUUUUUACUAUAUUGGGGGCGAGAAAUGGAAAUAUGGAUUUCGUUUUUUUGUAUCAGCUCUAGUUUUAUGGAUAUGGCACAUUCCGAAAUUAGUAGUUUUAUUAUUUGAGAUAAUAAAGGAUAUGCUAUUCAAAGAAA